rnacentral:sRNA from 12 species
UUGACAGCCCUGCUGGCUAAAAUCUGCUGUUUAUCCACAGAAUGGAAUGCUGUGUGCCACAGAAGUUUUCUUAUUCUCAUCACCUACAUGCCUCAGGUCUGCUCCGCCAAAGCACCUCUAGGGGUGAAUGCACGCUUCUGUCUCUAAGCUAAAUUCAAUCCCUGAUCUCU